UCCUUCAUAGCUUAGUGGCAGAGCGCAACGUUGUGGCCGUUGAGAUGCGGGUUCGAUUCCCGCUGAGGGAA
rfam:Enterocytozoon bieneusi H348 ctg01_168, whole genome shotgun sequence.